AGGGACAGCAACAGGCACAAAAGAAUAACACCCAGUGCCUGUCUUUGAGGUGCUGCAGUUCGGUAGGAGUAAGAAAUGCAAAUGAGCGCCCAGCAGGCUGAGUUCCUCCAAGUUCCAGUGUGGGUGCAGAGGGUCUCUGUGCGCAGGUGCCUUUGGGGCCCCACAGAGGCCAGGGAAGGGCUAGGGGAUGGUUCUGGGAAGUGAGGGUUCGGAGCAGCCCCUUUCCUGUGCCCCACUUCUGAAAGCCUCCUUACUCCCCUGUGGCCCACUCUGUCUUCCAGAGAGAGGGGCUGAACUGCGAGGUGGCCACCAACACAGAGGCCCUACAGAGCGGCAGGACAGAGAUAUGGAGCUCUACAGCUCUGUGCAGAACCUGAACUGUCCCAGCUCAGCCAGCAUCGCUGGAGGGCAGCCUGGUGGAGGCGGAGGUAUGUUACGAGACCCAGCUGGCCCAGUUGCAGGGGCUCAUCAGAAGCAUGGAGUAGCAGCUAUGCGAGCUCUGCUGUGACACGAGGACCACGAGCACCAGGUCCUUCUGGAUGUGAAGACAUGGCUGGAGCAGGAGGUUGCCACCUACCGCCGCUUGCUGGAGGUUGAGGACGCCCAGUGGGUGUGCACCUGGGUACCUGCUGGGGUGGGCUGGGGCCCGCUUCACCCAGGGAGAAGUUGGUGUCUGAGCACCAGCGAAGUCCAGGAGGUGUGAACGUGGGAACCUGUGGGGGUUUGCAGGAGGUGAAACUGAGGAUGCAGGCUGGAGUCUGACUGAGGAGCCUUGAAUGCCAAGUUAAAGCGUCUGGACUAGAUCACGUAGGCAAUGGGGAGCCAUGGAGGGAUUUGGAGCAGAGGAAGGGAAUGAACAUCAAGAUAUUUUAGAACAUUCACUCUGGCUGCAGAGGGAGAAAUGGAUCAGAGGGGUCAGGCUGGGGCCAGAGAGAUGCAUCGGGGGCGGGAGCAGGGAGUCUGGCCAGAGAAGUCCUGCGUGGGGGGCAGGGGAAGGAAGGUGGUACACACAGAAGAGAGGCUAUAGCUCAAAACAGCAGGACUGCAUGCCUGGAUCUUGGGGUGAGCGUGGCUCACAGUCAGGACUCAGUAAGUGUCAGGUGAACACAUGAAGGAGUGGGCAUUGAUGGCCCUGGGUUUCUGGUUCCGAUGACUGUGUGAGUGGUGAUACCAUCAGCCACAGGGUGAGGAGCAAGGUGGGCGGUGGUCAGGUUUGCAGUCGGGAAGGGUGAUCAGGCCUGCCGUUGAGAGUGUUCUGGAGUCUCCAUGCUUAGUCACACGUUGCAGCUUUUUGCUCCCCGAAAAUGGUGAAGUCCAUCUAUAGUCUAACCACAGUGUCUCCUGCUUUAAUUGCGUUUAUUUGUUGGGUCCUCUGGGAUAUGGAAAAGCCACUUGCUCUGCUUCUCCUUGUAAAUUCCUGGUGAGUAGUCACACAGUGCUGCCAGGCCUACGCUGUGCUGUUUCUUUUUCUUCUUCCCGCUGCGCAGGGCCCCUGCCCUUUCAUUCCUGGGCCUGUGCUGAUUUCUGUGCAUUCCCAGCUGCCAUUUUUCACCAAUUUGGGGGAACCUCCUCUGCCAGGGCCUGCUUCUCCCCAGCAGUGCUUGCAGGGGCCUGGGCUGGCUGGCAUCCCCGGGCUGAUGGGUGCUCCUCUCCCUGCAGGCUGGCCACUCAGUACUCCUUGUCCCUGGCCUCACAGCCCACCUGGGAAGGUAAGAAGCUGCCCUGUCCUGCUGUGUGGACCCCAAGGCAGGGGAGAGGCUGAGGACCCUUCUGUGUGUGAGACUGGGGGGAACACAGACUGGGGGACAGGUAGGGGGAAGAGCUCCUGCCUGAUGUUCCCUGCGCCCCCCCGCCUCCAUCGCCUGCAGCCACAGUGACCAGCCACCAGCUGUGCCAUCGUGGUGGAAGUCCAGGUUGGAGAGGUGGCCUCCUUCUGUGAGCAGAUCCAACUCUCCACCACCGAGGCCCCUUUCUGCCUAUGACAGCCCCACCUCACGGGCCACGGCACAGCCCUCAGCUCCAGCUCCAGCAUGACGCUGCCAUGCCGCGAGUGUCCGACUGGGCCCCGGUCCAUGGCCUGUGGUCUUUCUGUAUCUGCUUCCUGUAGCCCCACACUGAGGAGGCCUCCUGGGUUUGUCCAGUGCCUGCUAUUAAAGCUUUGCCCCAAGUUCAAUGCCUCCUGUGAUCUGGUCUAUUCAUUGGUUUGGGGCAGUGUGGGCUGAGGGACUGGGGGAGGUGGAGAAUUUAC
rnacentral:lncRNA from 1 species